rnacentral:rRNA from 1 species
UGGGGAAUAUUGCACAAUGGGGGAAACCCUGAUGCAGCGACGCCGCGUGGAGGAAGAAGGUCUUCGGAUUGUAAACUCCUGUUGUUGAGGAAGAUAAUGACGGUACUCAACAAGGAAGUGACGGCUAACUACGUGCCAGCAGCCGCGGUAAAACGUAGGUCACAAGCGUUGUCCGGAAUUACUGGGUGUAAAGGGAGCGCAGGCGGGAAGACAAGUUGGAAGUGAAAUCCAUGGGCUCAACCCAUGAACUGCUUUCAAAACUGUUUUUCUUGAGUAGUGCAGAGGUAGGCGGAAUUCCCGGUGUAGCGGUGGAAUGCGUAGAUAUCGGGAGGAACACCAGUGGCGAAGGCGGCCUACUGGGCACCAACUGACGCUGAGGCUCGAAAGUGUGGGUAGCAAACAGGAUUAGAUACCCUGGUAGUCCACACUGUAAACGAUGAUUACUAGGUGUUGGAGGAUUAACCCCUUCAGUGCCGCAGUUAACACAAUAAGUAAUCCACCUGGGGAGUACGACCGCAAGGUUGAAACUCAAAGGAAUUGACGGGGGCCCGCACAAGCAGUGGAGUAUGUGGUUUAAUUCGACGCAACGCGAAGAACCUUACCAAGUCUUGACAUCCUGCGACGGACAUAGAAAUAUGUUUUUCCUUCGGGACGCAGAGACAGGUGGUGCAUGGUUGUCGUCAGCUCGUGUCGUGAGAUGUUGGGUUAAGUCCCGCAACGAGCGCAACCCUUAUGGUCAGUUACUACGCAAGAGGACUCUGGCCAGACUGCCGUUGACAAAACGGAGGAAGGUGGGGAUGACGUCAAAUCAUCAUGCCCUUUAUGACUUGGGCUACACACGUACUACAAUGGCGUUAAACAAAGAGAAGCAAGACCGCGAGGUGGAGCAAAACUCAGAAACAACGUCCCAGUUCGGACUGCAGGCUGCAACUCGCCUGCACGAAGUCGGAAUUGCUAGUAAUCGCAGAUCAGCAUGCUGCGGUGAAUACGUUCCC